CACGGGGGGAGCAAGCGUUGCUCGGAAUCACUGGGCGUAAAGGGCGUGUAGGCGGUCAAGUAAGUGGAAUGUGAAAGCCCCCGGCUUACCCGGGGAUCUGCAUCCCAAACUGCUUGGCUUGAGUAUGGGAGAGGAUGGAGGAAUUCCUGGUGUAGCGGUGAAAUGCGUAGAUAUCAGGAGGAACACCGGUGGCGAAGGCGUCCAUCUGGCCCAAUACUGACGCUGAGGCGCGAAAGCUAGGGGAGCGAACAGG
rnacentral:rRNA from 1 species